AACGAACGCUGGCGGCAUGCCUAACACAUGCAAGUCGAACGAGACCUUCGGGUCUAGUGGCGCACGGGUGCGUAACGCGUGGGAACCUGCCCUUAGGUUCGGAAUAACUCCCCGAAAGGGGUGCUAAUACCGGAUAAUGUCUUCGGACCAAAGAUUUAUCGCCUUUGGAUGGGCCCGCGUUGGAUUAGCUAGUUGGUAGGGUAAAAGCCUACCAAGGCGACGAUCCAUAGCUGGUCUGAGAGGAUGAUCAGCCACACUGGGACUGGGACACGGCCCAGACUCCUACGGGAGGCAGCAGUGGGGAAUAUUGGACCAUGGGCGGAAGCCUGAUCCAGCCAUGCCGCGUGAGUGAUGAAGGCCUUAGGGUUGUAAAGCUCUUUUACCCGGGAUGAUAAUGACAGUACCGGGAGAAUAAGCUCCGGCUAACUCCGUG
rnacentral:rRNA from 1 species